UUACCUACGGGACGCAGCAGUCGGGAAUAUUGCGCAAUGGAGGAAACUCUGACGCAGUGACGCCGCGUAUAGGAAGAAGGUUUUCGGAUUGUAAACUAUUGUCGAUAGGGAAGAAAAAAGACUGUACCUAUCAAGAAAGCUCCGGCUAACUACGUGCCAGCAGCCGCGGUAAUACGUAGGGGGCAAGCGUUAUCCGGAUUUACUGGGUGUAAAGGGAGCGUAGACGGCAGCGCAAGUCUGGAGUGAAAUGCCGGGGCCCAACCCCGGAACUGCUCUGGAAACUGUGAGGCUGGAGUGC
rnacentral:rRNA from 1 species